GCGCCCGUAGCUCAGCUGGAUAGAGCAACCGUUUCCUAAACGGUGGGUCGCGGGUUCAAAUCCCGCCGCGGCGCGCCA
rnacentral:tRNA from 1 species